GACGAACGCUGGCGGCGUGCUUAACACAUGCAAGUCGAACGGAAAGGCCCUGCUUUUGUGGGGUGCUCGAGUGGCGAACGGGUGAGUAACACGUGAGUAACCUGCCCUUGACUUUGGGAUAACUUCAGGAAACUGGGGCUAAUACCGGAUAGGAGCUCCUGCUGCAUGGUGGGGGUUGGAAAGUUUCGGCGGUUGGGGAUGGACUCGCGGCUUAUCAGCUUGUUGGUGGGGUAGUGGCUUACCAAGGCUUUGACGGGUAGCCGGCCUGAGAGGGUGACCGGCGACAUUGGGACUGAGAUACGGCCCAGACUCCUACGGGAGGCAGCAGUGGGGAAUAUUGCACAAUGGGCGGAAGCCUGAUGCAGCAACGCCGCGUGCGUGAUGACGGCCUGCGGGUUGUAAACCGCUUUCGCCUGUGACGAAGCGUGAGUGACGGUAAUGGGUAAAGAAGCACCGGCUAACUACGUG
rnacentral:rRNA from 1 species